GGGAGGUUAGCGGCGGAAUGGGUGAGUAAACACGUGAGUAACCUACCCUUAAGACUGGGAUACCACUUGAAACAGGGUGCUAAUACCGGAUAGGAGUAUGAGCUGCAUGGCUUAUACUUUAAAGGCGGCGAAAGCUGUCACUAAAGGAUGGACCCGCGGUGCAUUAGCUAGUUGGUAAGGUAACGGCUUACCAAGGCGACGAUGCAUAGCCGAGUUGAGAGACUGAUCGGCCACAUUGGGACUGAGACACGGCCCAAACUCCUACGGGAGGCAGCAGUAGGGAAUCUUCCACAAUGGACGCAAGUCUGAUGGAGCAACGCCGCGUGAGUGAAGAAGGUUUUCGGAUCGUAAAGCUCUGUUGUUGGUGAAGAAGGAUAUAGGUAGUAACUGGCCUAUAUUUGACGGUAAUCAACCAGAAAGUCACGGCUAACUACGUGCCAGCAGCCGCGGUAAUACGUAGGUGGCAAGCGUUGUCCGGAUUUAUUGGGCGUAAAGCGAGCGCAGGCGGAGAAAUAAGUCUGAUGUGAAAGCCCACGGCUCAACCGUGGAACUGCAUCGGAAACUGUUUUUCUUGAGUGCAGAAGAGGAGAGUGGAACUCCAUGUGUAGCGGUGGAAUGCAUAGAUAUAUGGAAGAACACCAGUGGCGAAGGCGGCUCUCUGGUCUGCAACUGACGCUGAGGCUCGAAAGCAUGGGUAGCGAACAGG
rnacentral:rRNA from 1 species